AUUAUUUUAAGAUUAUUUUUUAUUGUUGAAAAAAUUAAAAAUAAAUUGUUUUUAACAAAAAUUAAAAUUUAUAAUAUUUCAUUUUUUGGUUUUUUGUUUUAAAUUAAAAUAAUAAAUAUGGGGGAAAAAAAAAUUUUGUUAUAAAUUAUAUUAGUUUAUUUUAAUUAAAAAUAUUUUUUAUUAAAUUUGUUUUUUUUAUUUUUUUAUAAAAAAUAUUAAUUUAAUUAUUAUUAUUGAGUUUAAUUUAGUUAUUUUUAAAAAAAUUUUGUAUAAAAUAAAUUUGAUAAUAAAUGUUUUUUAAAUUCUUUGGGGGUUUAGUUUAUGAUUUUUUGUUUCUGCUCAUUGUUAAAUAAAAGCACUUUUAGCGUGAUUGGUCAAAGAUA
rnacentral:rRNA from 1 species